GACAGAGGUGCCAAGCGUUAGGCGGAAUCACUGGGCUUAAAGCGUGUGUAGGCGGAAUUGUAAGUACCUUGUGAAAUCCCACGGCUCAACCGUGGAACUGCUCGGUAUACUGCUUUUCUUGAGCCACUUAGGGGCUACCGGAACAAAUGGUGGAGCGGUGAAAUGCGUAGAUAUCAUUUGGAACGCCAAUGGUGAAAACAGGUAGCUGGGAGUGUGCUGACGCUGAGACACGAAAGCCAGGGGGAGCGAACGGG
rnacentral:rRNA from 1 species